AUGGCGAUUUUUAGUGUGUAUGUGGUGAACAAAGCUGGCGACCUGAUUUACCAGCUGGACAGCUACUCGCCGCGGGCUGAGGCUGAGAAAACUUUCAGUUAUCCGCUGGAUCUGCUGCUCAAGCUACACGAUGAGCGUGUGCUGGUGGCUUUCGGCCAGCGGGACGGUAUCCGAGUGGGCCAUGCAGUGCUGGCUAUCAAUGGCAUGGACGGGAAUGGCAAAGUACACGGCCGACGGGAAAGAGGUGCUGGAGUAUCGAGUAACUCUGCUAAUUAUCCGGUGUCCAUUCGAUUUGGCCGGCCCCGCCUCAAUUCUAAUGAGAAGCUCAUGCUGGCCUCUGUGUUCUGCUCGCUCUUUGCCAUCGGCUCUCAGCUGUCUCCUGAACAGGGAAGCUCAGGCAUUGAGAUGCUGGAGACAGAUACAUUCAAAUUGCACUGCUACCAGACACUGACAGGGAUCAAAUUUGUGGUUCUAGCAGAUCCUAGGCAAGCUGGAAUAGAUUCUCUUCUCCGAAAGAUUUAUGAGAUUUACUCAGACUUUGCCCUCAAGAAUCCAUUCUACUCCUUAGAAAUGCCCAUCAGGUGUGAGCUAUUUGACCAGAAUUUGAAGCUAGCCCUGGAGGUGGCAGAGAAGGCUGGAACUUUUGGACCUGGGUCAUAGGCUGAACCUGCGAUGGACCCCCACAUUCUGAGAGUUCCUGCAACAGGAAUACUGUUUCCACUCCGGUGGAGAUUCCAGCAGCCUUGUUAGUGCACUUGAAAAUGGGAAAAUGCUGACCCUGAUGACAUGUGCUGAUUCCUGAGCCUUCACACUAUGCUGUUUCCUUCUGUAUAUAUCGUGGUCUUAUUUUCCAACUCUGUACAGAUUUAUUUAUGGGGGAGAAAGGUCCAUAAAUGUUGUAAUAAACAUUCCUUUGAUCUU